GGUGGUUCUCGGGUGACGCACCCCAGAAUCGGGAUCCCUCUCUCGUUCCGCGUGCGUCACCCGAGAACCACA
rfam:Myotis lucifugus cont2.49012, whole genome shotgun sequence.